rnacentral:rRNA from 1 species
GAUGAACGCUGGCGGCGUGCCUAAUACAUGCAAGUCGAGCGAACGGACGAGAAGCUUGCUUCUCUGAUGUUAGCGGCGGACGGGUGAGUAACACGUGGAUAACCUACCUAUAAGACUGGGAUAACUUCGGGAAACCGUAGCUAAUACCGGAUAAUAUUUUGAACCGCAUGGUUCAAAAGUGAAAGACGGUCAUGCUGUCACUUAUAGAUGGAUCCGCGCUGCAUUAGCUAGUUGGUAAGGUAACGGCUUACCAAGGCAACGAUGCAUAGCCGACCUGAGAGGGUGAUCGGCCACACUGGAACUGAGACACGGUCCAGACUCCUACGGGAGGCAGCAGUAGGGAAUCUUCCGCAAUGGGCGAAAGCCUGACGGAGCAACGCCGCGUGAGUGAUGAAGGUCUUCGGAUCGUAAAACUCUGUUAUUAGGGAAGAACAUAUGUGUAAGUAACUGUGCACAUCUUGACGGUACCUAAUCAGAAAGCCACGGCUAACUACGUG